rnacentral:rRNA from 1 species
UACAGAGGUCUCGAGCGUUGUUCGGAUUCAUUGGGCGUAAAGGGCGCGUAGGCGGCGGGGUAAGUCUGGUGUGAAAUCUCGGAGCUCAACUCCGAAAUUGCACUGGAUACUGCUCUGCUAGAGGGCUGGAGAGGAGAUCGGAAUUCACGGUGUAGCAGUGAAAUGCGUAGAUAUCGUGAGGAACACCAGUGGCGAAGGCGGCUCACUGGCCCGAUACUGACGCUGAGGCACGAAAGCGUGGGGAGCAAACAGG